AUUUAAUUGUGAAAGUGAUCAUAGAGUGUAUUCUUUGUAAUAUACCCCGUGAUAAACCUAAUUUUCGUGAAAAAAGAGGGAGGAUAAAAAAAUUUGCCUGACCAUUGGGAUGGCGAUGUAAUAGGCUACCACUUUUGUUGUUACAAGGAGUUCAGAGUAAAACCUAAAUAUUUAUGUUAUGAAAGCUUGUGGUGUAAUUCACAUAUGCAAAAUCCUACUGACAGGUAGCCUGAAGAUUACGGAUGGACAAUUAUUAACGGCAAAUACGAGUACUAUUGGUUUAAUGGUCCGCGAAGUCCAUCUUUUGUUGAAAUUUCUGCUACACAUCCAGAAUUCGACUAUAUGAGUGACGUAAUGGAUACCGUCGAAAGAAACAUCGGAGAAGAUGAAUUAUCCAGUGAAACUGACGAUGACGACUUGUCAAUAAAUACAUUUUAAUUAAUA